AUUGAACGCUGGCGGCAGGCCUAACACAUGCAAGUCGAGCGGAUGAAGGGAGCUUGCUCCUGGAUUCAGCGGCGGACGGGUGAGUAAUGCCUAGGAAUCUGCCUGGUAGUGGGGGAUAACGUCCGGAAACGGGCGCUAAUACCGCAUACGUCCUGAGGGAGAAAGUGGGGGAUCUUCGGACCUCACGCUAUCAGAUGAGCCUAGGUCGGAUUAGCUAGUUGGUGGGGUAAAGGCCUACCAAGGCGACGAUCCGUAACUGGUCUGAGAGGAUGAUCAGUCACAAUGGAACUGAGACACGGUCCAGACUCCUACGGGAGGCAGCAGUGGGGAAUAUUGGACAAUGGGCGAAAGUCUGAUCCAGCCAUGCCGCGUGUGUGAAGAAGGUCUUCGGAUUGUAAAGCACUUUAAGUUGGGAGGAAGGGCAGUAAGUUAAUACCUUGCUGUUUUGACGGUACCAACAGAAUAAGCACCGGCUAACUUCGUG
rnacentral:rRNA from 1 species